UUUUAAAAAGUCACAAACAGAGAAGUACGGUGGAUAUGUUGAAGGACAGAGAAGUAAUUAGUCGUAGUGGUGUUAGUAUCACUUGGCUCCUCGAUCAAGGUCGGACAUAAUCUCUGCCCGGAUCCUCUUUUCUCUUUCUCCGCCUAAAAUAGCCAGGGCUCGCCUAAAACCCCACAUUUAAUAUACGGAAUUUGAGCUGUUCUAGGCAAAGUCCACUACUAGUACAUAGUCCUCCUCGCCAACUUACUGUUUGGUUGCAGAUAUUUAAUUAAUCGGGGAAACGGCAAAGGCCAUGUGACUUGUAAUGAAACCAGUGUCUAAUACUACAAUAGUUAUUAUUCCAUCGUAUACCAUUUUCAUUUGAUAGACAGCGCGCCGUAGACAGCAGCUAGCGACAACACAACAGGUCACCACUUUCUCUCUCUUCCCUGCAGCAGGGUGCAGGGAUGGGGUGGGUGGGGUGCGAGGGGUGCAGCAGCUACCUUUACCAAAAAGCACCAAACUCGUCCUUUUUAAACCAACCAACCAACUCCUCUCCUCUUCCCUUUGUUCUUUACAAUUACAAAUCCCCAUUUUUCUUUUCUCCAACUUUUGGAUUAGUUCCAUUCCUUUGUCUUUUUCAUCAUCAUCAUCAUCAUCAUCAUCAUCAUCUUCUAAACUAGUAAUUAAGUUUUGGGUUUCGAUAAUUUGUUAUAAAUUAAUUUUAGGAGGGAGAAAUUGAUGAUGGAGGUGGUGAUUGAGGUAUAUUGUGAGGCAUUGAUGUUGAUUGGGUAUGGAAAGAAGAAGUUUAAGAGCAUGGUUUGGAGGGUGAAAGCAGAGGUACGGAAACAGAUGUUGAAGAAGAAGAAGCAGCAGAGGUUCAGCUUCCAUUAUGAUCCAUUCAGUUAUGCACUCAAUUUUGACGACGGUGACUUUGGUUUCUUCUGCUAGCUCUCAUCCUCAUCCUCAUCCUCAUCCUCAUCCUCAUCCUCAUCCUCAUCCUCAUCCUCAUUUUUUGGGUACUGUUGUAUAAGCAUCAAGUAGCAACAGAUCCAUAUACUCUCUUUCUUUUGUUUCUUCUGGCUAGUAUAUGUAUGGGUACCUAUAUAUAGACCUUAAUUAGAAGCCAACUGCGGACCCAUAAAUUGAUAUUUAUAUUAUAUGCAUCUUGCUGAUCAGAAUCUUCCCUUUUUUCAUUCAUAUCUACCAUAUAUACAUAUAUAUAUAUAUAUGUGCAUGUUCUGUUAUGAUCUUCAACUUCAAUGGCCAUGAGCAACGCCGUUAAUACUAGUAGGUGAUAUGCUCAGCUCAAUUGGUUUGUUUUUGCAAUUGAUAUCUAUAUUGGCUCUUCACUUUAAAAUUAC
rnacentral:lncRNA from 1 species